rnacentral:rRNA from 1 species
GACAGAGGGUGCAAACGUUGUUCGGAAUUACUGGGCGUAAAGCGCGUGUAGGCGGCAAGGCAAGUCGGGUGUGAAAGCCCUGGGCUCAACCCAGGAAGUGCAUUCGUUACUGCCAAGCUAGAGUCCCGGAGAGGAUGGUGGAACUCUCGGUGUAGAGGUGAAAUUCGUAGAUAUCGAGAAGAACACCGGUGGCGAAGGCGGCCAUCUGGACGGUGACUGACGCUGAGACGCGAAAGCGUGGGGAGCAAACAGG